UACAGAGGGUGCAAGCGUUGUUCGGAAUUAUUGGGCGUAAAGGGAGUGUAGGCGGUUUGAUAAGUCUUCUGUGAAAUCUACGGGCUAAACCUGUAACGUGCAGAAGAUACUGUUAGGCUUGAGUGUCGGAGAGGAUAGUGGAAUUCCCGGUGUAGAGGUGAAAUUCGUAGAGAUCGGGAGGAACACCAGUGGCGAAGGCGACUGUCUGGCUGACAACUGACGCUGAGACUCGAAAGCAUGGGGAGCAAACAGG
rnacentral:rRNA from 1 species